GGGGGAUAACUACUGGAAACGGUAGCUAAUACCGCAUAACGUCGCAAGACCAAAGAGGGGGACCUUCGGGCCUCUUGCCAUCGGAUGUGCCCAGAUGGGAUUAGCUUGUAGGUGAGGUAACGGCUCACCUAGGCGACGAUCCCUAGCUGGUCUGAGAGGAUGACCAGCCACACUGGAACUGAGACACGGUCCAGACUCCUACGGGAGGCAGCAGUGGGGAAUAUUGCACAAUGGGCGCAAGCCUGAUGCAGCCAUGCCGCGUGUAUGAAGAAGGCCUUCGGGUUGUAAAGUACUUUCAGCGGGGAGGAAGGGAGUGAGGUUAAUAACCUUAUUCAUUGACGUUACCCGCAGAAGAAGCACCGGCUAACUCCGUGCCAGCAGCCGCGGUAAUACGGAGGGUGCAAGUGUUAAUCGGAAUUACUGGGCGUAAAGCGCACGCAGGCGGUCUGUCAAGUCGGAUGUGAAAUCCCCGGGCUCAACCUGGGAACUGCAUUCGAAACUGGCAGGCUGGAGUCUUGUAGAGGGGGGUAGAAUUCCAGGUGUAGCGGUGAAAUGCGUAGAGAUCUGGAGGAAUACCGGUGGCGAAGGCGGCCCCCUGGACAAAGACUGACGCUCAGGUGCGAAAGCGUGGGGAGCAAACAGGAUUAGAUACCCUGGUAGUCCACGCUGUAAACGAUGUCGACUUGGAGGUUGUUCCCUUGAGGAGUGGCUUCCGGAGCUAACG
rnacentral:rRNA from 1 species